rnacentral:rRNA from 1 species
UACGGAGGGUGCGAGCGUUGUCCGGAAUCACUGGGCGUAAAGGGCGCGUAGGCGGCGCGGGGAGUCAACGGUGAAAGCUCGGCGCUCAACGCCGAGUCGGCCGUCGAUACUCCCGUGCUUGAGCACUGUAGAGGCAGGUGGAAUUCCGGGUGGAGCGGUGAAAUGCGUAGAGAUCCGGAGGAACACCGACGGCGUAGGCAGCGCCCUAGACGAGACCUGACGCUCAGGCACGAAAGCGCGGGGAGCGAACAGG